UGUGAUCCUCAGAGGGAUAGCACUUUUAAUUUCCUUCAAUAACUUUUCCAAUGCAUUCACAACUUGGCUUUUUGUCACAAAAGGCCUAGCUUUCAACCUAUCUCGGCUUUCAAUAUGCCUUCCUCACUAAG